CUAUGGUAAUAAAUGGACAAUGAAAUAAGCCUAUUGGACCCGGGGGCGGUACCCGGCGCCUCCACCAAAAUAUAAUAAUAAAUAUUAUAUUUUGAUGGGGGCGAACUAGGAUCGACAAGGGUGUAAAGAUUGCUCUUUUACUCGGCAUUGUACCACCGUUAUCGGACUAAAUGAGUAGUUGCAAAUGACAACUAUGCGGAAGCACGUCUCGCUGCUUAAUGUGGUGCGAAUGCUUCAAAUUAAGUCUUAAACUGUCGCAGGUUUAAGCGGGGUUCGG
rnacentral:tmRNA from 1 species